rnacentral:rRNA from 1 species
GACGAACGCUGGCGGCGUGCCUAAUACAUGCAAGCCGAACGGUCUUUUCUAUAGAAGCUUGCUUCCGCUGAGAAGAUAGUGGCGAACGGGUGAGUAACACGUGGGUAACCUGCCCAUAAGAGGGGGAUAACAUCCGGAAACGGGUGCUAAUACCGCAUAGUUUUCUUGAUCGCAUGAUUGAGAAAGGAAAGACGGCCUUUGUGCUGUCGCUUAUGGAUGGACCCGCGGCGUAUUAGUUAGUUGGUGAGGUAACGGCUCACCAAGACGAUGAUGCGUAGCCGACCUGAGAGGGGGGUCGGCCACAUUGGGACUGAGACACGGACCAAACUCCUACGGGAGGCAGCAGUAGGGAAGCUUCCGCAAUGGACGAAAGUCUGACGGAGCAACGCCGCGUGAGUGAAGAAGGUUUUCGGAUCGUAAAACUCUGUUGUCAGAGAAGAACAAGUCGGAGAGUAACUGCUCCGGCCUUGACGGUAUCUGACCAGAAAGCCACGGCUAACUACGUGCCAGCAGCCGCCGCUGUAA